GACGAACGCUGGCGGCGCGCUUAACACAUGCAAGUCGAACGGAAAGGCCUGCUUUCCCUUGUGGAUUGCGGGUACUCGAGUGGCGAACGGGUGAGUAACACGUGAGUGAUCUGCCCCCAACUUGGGUAUAAGCCUGGGAAACUGGGUCUAAUUCCCGAUAGGACUGCAGGGUGGUGCCUGUGGUGGAAAACGAUUUUCUAGUGGUUGGGGAUGAGCUCGCGGCCUAUCAGCUUGUUGGUGGGGUAAUGGCCUACCAAGGCGGCGAUGGGUAGCCGGCCUGAGAGGGUGGACGGCCACAUUGGGACUGAGAUACGGCCCAGACUCCUACGGGAGGCAGCAGUGGGGAAUAUUGCACAAUGGGCGGAAGCCUGAUGCAGCGACGCCGCGUGGGGGAUGACGGCCUUCGGGUUGUAAACUCCUUUCGACCGCGAGGAAGCCACCUGGUUGGAAGGGUGGUGACGGUAGUGGUAGAAGAAGCACCGGCUAACUACGU
rnacentral:rRNA from 1 species